rnacentral:rRNA from 1 species
UAGGGAAUCUUCGGCAAUGGACGAAAGUCUGACCGAGCAACGCCGCGUGAGUGAAGAAGGUUUUCGGAUCGUAAAACUCUUUUGUUAGAGAAGAACAAGGACGUUAGUAACUGAACGUCCCCUGACGGUAUCUAACCAGAAAGCUACGGCUAACUACGUGCCAGCAGCCGCGGUAAUACGUAGGUGGCAAGCGUUGUCCGGAUUUAUUGGGCGUAAAGCGAGCGCAGGCGGUUUCUUAAGUCUGAUGUGAAAGCCCCCGGCUCAACCGGGGAGGGUCAUUGGAAACUGGGAGACUUGAGUGCAGAAGAGGGGAGUGGAAUUCCAUGUGUAGCGGUGAAAUGCGUAGAUAUAUGGAGGAACACCAGUGGCGAAGGCGGCUCUCUGGUCUGUAACUGACGCUGAGGCUCGAAAGCGUGGGGAGCAAACAGG